rnacentral:tRNA from 1 species
GCCCUCGUCGUUCAACGGAUAGGAUGCAAGCUUGCGGAGCUUGAGAUAGAGGUUCGAUUCCUCUCGAGGGCA